rnacentral:rRNA from 1 species
CCACUUCCCCCUUUCCCUCGCUCUCUCUCUUCUCCUCGCGUGAAACCGCUGCUGCCGUCGCCAUGGCCGCGACCACCGUGCUCCCCGCGCCGCGAGAAGACGCCCAGAAGGACUGCCACGGUCCACUUCGUCCAUCCCGAGGACCGAAUCGAGCGGGGAAGGCCCGUACACUCGCCAUCGCCACCAUCUUCAUCUUGUACAUCGCCGCGGCCUCGACGUCGAUCCGCAUCACCUCGUCCAUCCCGGCCUCGUACGAGCUCACCACCGACCUCCUCUCGAUGACGGAGUCCAGGAGCCAGAUGAGACCUUUGACUACUGCUACUACACCGAGGGCGUCUACUACCACGUGACGAAGACCGCCGAUGACCAGGAGUAGUUAGGAGGCUCCCAGGCAGGAGGCCUUGCCUUUUCGAUCGUAGAUGCUUUUGUGCUAGCCUUCUUAAGGCAAACUUGUUUAACUUAUGUCUGUACUCAGAUAUUGUUGCUUCCGCUGACUCGUUUGUAUUCAAGCUGAUGUAUUCGAGCCCUCGAGGCCCCUGGCUUGUAAUAUAAAGCUUGUAUUAUUUUAAUUUGUGUCUAG